GUCUGUCUAGAAUUCCAAAGGCAAAUGACUCAAGGUAACAGGAAAAAAGAAAAUCCAGUAUCAGGAUAAUCAGAACACCACAGGUUUACAGUUUGUAGAAACUAGAACACGAGCAGCUCUCACUUAAGGUCUGUGAUGGAACUCCAGUGGAGAAAUGGCUGGUACUUUUUCCACCCCUUAAUCAGAUUUUUUUUUUAAUUAAAGUAUGUAACCGGUUAUUUUUACUUGAAGUAUUUUGGGGUGGUCUUAACAGGGAAGAGGGUGGGGGAGAAAAUGUUUUUUUCUAAGACUUUCCACAGAUGCUAUAGUACUAUUGACAAACUGAGUUAGAGAAGGAUUGUACUGCUAUGCUGUUGGAGUAUUCCCAGUGAAGCUGAAAUAUACAGCACAGUGCAGCUUUGGUUCAUAUUCAGUCAUCUCAGGAGAACUUCAGAAGAGCUUGACUAGGCCAAAUAUUGAAGUUAAGUUUUCAAAUAAUGGAACUUUUUAAGAUGCCUUUUAAAGGGGAGGGGCAAGUUUUGGCAAUUAGUUGGCAGUGGCCUGUUUUGGUUGGGGUUGGGUGGGUUGGGUUUAGGUAAUUGUUUAGUUUAUGAUUUCAGAUAACUCAUGCCAGAGAACUUAAAUACUUAGGAUGGAAAAACUAAAGAAAUCUCACCUCCCAAGUUGGCAAGUAACUCCUGAUCCUCUAGUUUCUUGUUUUACCCCAAUUUUUGAACUGGACAGCUGGGAACUUCAAAGAUUCACUGGAUUUAAAGUGUAGGGCUUGGGAAAGGAAAGUGUUGGAUUGGGGGUUGGUCUAGCCCACUGGGUUGACCAAGAUAAAAACUUGGGGAAUUGUUUAAACACUAAAGUUGUUUGGAUAUGGUAGUGUGUGGUUCUCUUUUGGAAUUUUUUUCAGGUGAUUUAAUAAAACUUAAUACUACUAUAGGAGCUUCAGAGCAAAGGAAGUGGCUUAAUGAUCCUGAAGGGAUUUCUUCUGAUGGUAGCUUUUAUAUUAUCAAGUAAGUUUCUCAUUAUCAGAAGAGUUGCUUCAUAUCAUCUGGGAGCAGAAAACAGCAGGCAGCUGUUCACAGAUAAGUUUAACUUGCAUCUGCAGUAUUGCAUGUUAGGGAUAAGUGCUAUGUUUAAUAAGAGCUGUGGAGGUCCUAGGUCCCUUACUCAAGGGAUCUCAGGAUUUUGAGGAAUUUUCCCAUCCAGCCUUUUAAAAUGAGACAGGCCUUAUGCCUGUGGGCUUCCAUGAUGGGCUAACUCACUUCACUCGAGGCAAGUAAUUCCUUAAAGCCUCUUGAGAUUAAUACCUUAAUAAUCAAGGAUAAUGUUGAUAAAAUAAAAAUUUGUUUAGCAUUGAUUCUUGAAAACCCUAUGAAAAGAUAGCAUAAUGUGCUGUUAACCAGAAUCAGAUAUGUUAACCUUGCUAAAAUUUAAAUGUUAUGUGUAUUGUGCAGAAAACCGUAAAAUCACUCAAAAUAAAAUACUUUAUUUAGCGAAUGUAUGCUUUUAGAAAGCUGUCUCCUUAUUUAAAUAAAAUAUUGUUUGUCUGUAGUUAGUGUUGGGCAAUCUUGGGGGGAUUCUUCUCAUCUUUCAGAGACUUUGUCUGCGAACACUCUGUAAUGGACAAGAUCAGGAAUUGAGCUGAAGAACGAAUUUAACUUAAGGCAGGAAAGACAAAUUUUAUCCUUCGUAAAAUUGAUGACCAUUUAAUAAUUCCAGGCACAUGGCCAUAGAGACCCUCUAAAUAAAUAAGGAAUAAAUACUUAUUAGGCAGGUGGGAGAUUAUGAUCAGAAGAACAGGUAACUACACCUACGCAUUUUUCAGAAAGUCAGGAGUCGAAAUUGACAGUACUGAAGUAUAAUGCGGUCCACAUUUCCAAAGUUUGCAUGUUAAAUUGAAAUGCUUACCAUCUCAUCUAGUGUUAGCCAAUGCUUUACACUUAUUAGCCUUUUAUAUAGACACUUGGUGGGGGGCAUGUGGGUUUUUUAAAGAACUUUCCUUUGCAGAGGCUUCGUUUCAUCCUUCAUGAGGCUGUUCAGGAUUUUGACUUGCAUAUAAACGCUUGGCUCUGCCUUCUGUUCUCCUAGUGGGUGUGUGAGACCUUGCAGUGAGUUUUCAGCAUACUCAAGUAAAAA
ensembl:lncRNA